UCAUAGCUCAGUUGGUAGAGCCUGAGACUGUUAACCUGAGGGUCAUGGGUUUGAGCCCGAUGUCAGGUGAAAAA